UAUAAAUGUUUUGCUGCCUAACGCUUCGCUGCUCGAAAGAAAUCUACGGUCCAAAGCUGCCAUGACUGCAAUCAAAGACUUUGCAAUUGUUUUGCUGAUCGUCUCUGCUCUGUUCAUGAUUCCCGGCUCGUCCGCAGGAAAUUCGUACCCUAGAGCAAGCUCUCCAUUUUUGGUUUCGAUGCGCUAACGAACGAGCCUUGUUGACCCUUGUAAUGAGCGGCUUCGCUUUUUUGACUUGGAAAGUGGAUCCAGCCUGGUCGAUGGCUGCGUUUCGCCUACAAAAUAAGUGACAAAUCUGAGCUCAAGCAACAUUAGGAAGAAGCGACAUUGUAUGCGGGUGAAUCAGCCUAUGGAACUGUCUAAGCCAGCUCCCUGAAUCAUGAAGUGACCAAUGUGUAAUAACACAGUCACAAAAGAAAUCUCCAGAAGGUGCUUUAGAAACAUUUUUCUUCUGUACUCGGGGUAUUUAUUUGAUUUAAUAAAUAUGCUUUGAAACAUU